CACGUAGGGGGCAAGCGUUGUCCGGAUUUACUGGGCGUAAAGGGCGCGUAGGCGGCCUUCUAAGUCGAACGUGAAAUCCCCGGGCUCAACCCGGGAACUGCGUCCGAUACUGGAAGGCUUGAAUCCGGGAGAGGGAUGCGGAAUUCCAGGUGUAGCGGUGAAAUGCGUAGAUAUCUGGAGGAACACCGGUGGCGAAGGCGGCAUCCUGGACCGGCAUUGACGCUGAGGCGCGAAAGCCAGGGGAGCAAACGGG
rnacentral:rRNA from 1 species